GCCGUCCUGCCCACCCGGUGACGCAAAGUGCACGUAGGCGGAGACAGCUUCUCGGCGUCUGCUGGGGUUUGCUUCCACGCGUUAAGGCUCUGUUGACGCGGACCGGCGCUGGAGAGCUGGGCGCGCGGUGUGUGGUCGCUGUCUGCCUCCGGCUACGCCACUACCUCUCCUGCGGGGCCGAGGGAGCCGUGCAGGCAGCGGCUGCGUAGUUCCCAGCAGACUGAGAAAUGAGAAAAAUACCAAACCAUGGGACCCUGCGGAUGACGAAGGUGGCAUAUCCCCUGGGACUGUGCGUGGGCCUGUUCAUCUAUGUUGCCUAUAUCAAGUGGCACCGGGCCUCUGCUGCCCAGGCCUUCUUCACCAUUGCUGGGGCUGCCUCGGGGGCACGGUGGACCCAGCAGGCCUUCAGCUCCCCAGGCUCAGCUGCACGUGGUCAUGAGGUCUUCUAUGGGAUCAUGUUUGACGCUGGGAGCACCGGCACCCGCAUCCACGUCUUCCAGUUCGCCCGGCCACCUGGAGAAACUCCCACCUUGACCCAUGAAACCUUCAAAGCACUGAAGCCUGGGCUUUCUGCUUACGCUGAUGAUGUUGAAAAGAGUGCUCAGGGGAUCCAGGAGCUUCUGAAUGUUGCUAAGCAACACAUUCCUUAUGAUUUCUGGAAGGCUACCCCUCUGGUUCUCAAGGCCACAGCUGGUUUGCGCCUGCUGCCAGGAGAAAAGGCUCAGAAGUUGCUGCAAAAGGUGAAGGAGGUGUUCAAGGCAUCACCCUUCCUUGUCGGGGAUGACUGUGUUUCCAUCAUGAACGGCACAGACGAAGGUGUUUCGGCCUGGAUCACUGUCAACUUCCUGACAGCUCAACCCCAGCCCAGCAUCCACUGGAGCUCUGACCUGUAGUCACGAGAAGCAGUGAAUAGAACCUGGUCAUGGGCCUAGAGAGAUGGCUCAGUGGUUAGGAGCACUGGCUGCUCUUCCAGAGGUCCUGAGCUCCAUGAACUCAGCCACACGGUGGCUCACAACCAUCUGGAAUGUAGUGGGAUCUGACGCCCUCUUCUGGCACUCAGGCGUAAGCGGUACAUGCAGAUAGAGUACUUAAAUACAUAAAUAAGUCUUUUUUAAAAAACAAAGAUUAAAAAAAAGCUAGUCAGGCCUUAAAAUAUUGGCUGCGAUGUGCUUGCUAAUGAGCUCUGGCAGGAACGCCUGCCUGUGGAAACAGGUUGUGAAGAGACACUUGCAGAUUGUUCGCAGUGUGGCCCCUUCGCUGGAGAAGGGCAGUGUGUCUGUGUAGGAGGAAGAAAGGGUUUUCCUGGCAGGUCUCACCAAGAUGAGGGCACAAAGAUACUGGUGGGUUGGCUAGGGCUCUCAACUUACUGCAGGUGCUUUGGGAGUGCUGCGUCUGGGGUGGGGCUAGCCGAAGAGGAUGCCUCGCAGAGAGGACCCGUGUCGGAAUAGCAAAGUCAGUGUUUGUGGGAAGGUGAACCAGCCUCGCCAGAAGAGAGCAGCGUCAGUGUUUCUCCCUGUGGUCAGCGUGAUCCUGUUCUUCACACCACAGCCACAGCAUGCAGAGCCGUGGCUCUUGGAUCCCUUUAGCUUGCCGUUGUCUAAGGAGUUGCAGCAGCCUCUCUGCCUUUUCCCCCACGCGGAAAGGCUUCUGGCCUCUCUUUGAUCUUCCUGGUGUCCUCAUUUCCUUCCUAACACGACAGCGCUGUCUAUGCUUAUACUCACUGUGAUCCAGGCAGUCUGAAGACCCCAGGAAGCAGCAGUGUGGGCAUGCUGGAUUUGGGCGGAGGAUCCACUCAGAUCACUUUCCUCCCACGUGUCGAGGGUACCCUGCAGGCCUCCCCGCCCGGCCACCUGACGGCGCUGCAGAUGUUUAACAGGACUUACAAGCUGUACUCCUACAGCUACCUGGGGCUGGGACUGAUGUCGGCACGGCUGGCUAUCUUGGGCGGUGUGGAGGGGAAACCUGCUGAGAAUGACAAGGAACUGGUCAGCCCCUGUCUGUCUCCCCGGUUCCGAGGAGAGUGGGAGCAUGCGGAGGUCACCUAUAGAAUUUCAGGACAGAAGGCAGUGGGCCUCUAUGAGCUGUGUGCCAGUAGAGUAUCAGAAGUCCUCCGAAAUAAAGUACACAGGACGGAAGAGGCACAGCACGUGGACUUCUAUGCGUUUUCCUACUACUAUGACCUUGCAGCCAGCUUUGGUCUUAUAGAUGCAGAGAAAGGAGGCAGCCUUGUAGUUGGAGACUUUGAGAUAGCAGCCAAGUACGUGUGCCGCACUCUGGAGACACAGCCGCCGAGCAGCCCCUUUGCCUGCAUGGACCUCACCUACAUCAGCCUACUGCUCCACGAGUUUGGUUUUCCCGGGGACAAGGUGCUGAAGCUGGCUCGGAAAAUUGACAAUGUUGAAACCAGCUGGGCUCUGGGAGCUAUUUUUCAUUACAUCGACUCCCUGAAGAGACAGAAGGUUCCUGCCUUGUAGCAGCUGAGCCCUAGUCCCUGCCUCAACCAGAAUUCCAAGGCUCCCAACUCCAUGGACCCCUCUGUCUUGGAAGUGACACCAUCCUUGAGGAGCCUGCAUCUGGCUGAGACCCUCUGUGCCUGCAGUGUCAUCUGCAGAUUUGCCUGGGACAUGGCCCAUGUACUAGCCCUGCUACACCACACUAGCUGGGGCAGGGCCAGGGUAGGAAUGCUGCUUGGCCUGAGGCCAUCUCCCUGCCUUACUUACCUCCAAGUGGGCAGGGAGCCAGGUGGGGCCCAGGGCACAUGCAGCCCUGUUCUUAUUCCAUCCCUGUGCAGGAUUGUGGCUGCUUUUAUGUGUUUCUGUGACGUGAGUCUUGUUUUGUCUCCCAGCCCCUGUUCCCUCAUGAGCCAGGCCUCUCUGCCUUCCCAGAGUUGUGGGAGUUGAAGUAACCUGACCUUGCCACAGUGCAACCUCGAGGGGAGCACAUCUUGAAUGUGGCCAUCUCUUCCUCGGGACAGACAUGUGAAAUCACCUGGAGAUUUGCUGUCCCACCUUUGAAUGGUAUAGCAUUAACUGAUGUGGGGACACUGAGUAGGAAGAAGAUGGCCCAGUGCCUCUUUACAGACCCAGCGUGCCGCCUUUGCAGAGAAUGUGGGUGUGAGCAGAGCUGUGAGAAUGUUCAGGGCCGUUGCUCAAGUACUACCUUGUGAGCUGUGAGUGCUUUAUGUUAAAACUGAGCCCCUCUUCUGGACACAACUAUGUCCCAGUGAAUGUAUUCCUGCUAUGAGCCACUUGCAGACCAGUGGGGCGGAUGAGAAAGCUCAGCCCUGAACCAUACUACCCCUUACCCCACCCUCCUCACUCGGCUGCAGCUGGCUUCCCCAUGGUCCCCUCAGUGAAUGUACAGUUCAUAAAAUAAGCUGAGCCACCACUGUUCAACUCAAAAUAAAGGUUUACAAGGGUUUC